UACGGAGGAUGCAAGCGUUAUCCGGAAUGAUUGGGCGUAAAGCGUCCGCAGGUGGCUGUGUAAGUCUGCUGUCAAAGAGCGAAGCUCAACUUCGUAAAGGCAGUGGAAACUACACGGCUAGAGUGCGUUCGGGGCAGAGGGAAUUCCUGGUGUAGCGGUGAAAUGCGCAGAUAUCAGGAGGAACACCGGUGGCGAAGGCGGAUCUCUGGGCCUGAUCUGACGCUGAGGCGCGAAAGCUAGGGGAGCGAACAGG
rnacentral:rRNA from 1 species